CCUACGGGUGGCAGCAGUCGAGAAUUAUUCACAAUGGGGGAAACCCUGAUGGUGCGACGCCGCGUGGGGGAAUGAAGGUCUUCGGAUUGUAAACCCCUGUCAUGUGGGAGCAAAUUAAAAAGAUAGUACCACAAGAGGAAGAGACGGCUAACUCUGUGCCCGAAGCCGAGGUAAUACAGAGGUCUCAAGCGUUGUUCGGAAUCACUGGGCGUAAAGCGUGCGUAGGCUGUUUCGUAAGUCGUGUGUGAAAGGUGCGGGCUCAACCGGCGGACGGCACAUGAUACUGCGAGACUAGAGUAAUGGAGGGGGAACCGGAAUUCUCGGUGUAGCAGUGAAAUGCGUAGAUAUCGAGAGGAACACUAGUGGCGAAGGCGGGUUCCUGGACAUUAACUGACGCUGAGGCACGAAGGCCAGGGGAGCGAAAGGGAUUAGAUACCCUAGUAGUC
rnacentral:rRNA from 1 species